AUAUAUAUAUAAUUAUAUUUAUAUAUAUAUAUAGAGAGAGAGAGAGAGAGAGAGAGAGAGAGAGAGAGAGAGAGAGAGAGAGAGAGAGAGAGAGAGUCCGGCUACUGUACUUCUAUGAGUAUAGAGCCUCUUGUACUCAUAAGUUUUUUGUCGUUUGAUCUACCUUUUAAUCAUUUUCACCCGUUAGAUUAUAUUAUCCAACUAACCACCCACUCAACCCUAGGGGGUCUAGUAUCAACCUAACCGUAACCACUCUCAUCCUAACCGCAUAUUUUUUUAUCCGAACGGUCGAAAAGUUAUAAGUACAAAGAACUCUAUACUCAUAUGAGUAUAGUAGCCCCAGCCAAUAUAGAGUCCGGCUACUAUGCUAUCGAUAGCACGGAGCGCUCCGUGCUAUCAAGUUGUUUUCGAUGAUGCGGCUUCCAAAUCGACGAUCGGCUCCGUUAGACUUGAUCUACACUAUUAAAAGUAUUUGGAAACUAAAUUUCAUAAUUUUUCGACAUCAUUUGACUAGUGAUCAAAAGAUCUCAAAAUUGACAAUUUUAAUGGCCGAUGUGGUGUGUUUGUGAGUUUAACGGUGUAAAACAAUCCAAAUGCGAUGAAAAUUUUAUAGAAAAUUCUUUUCACUAUUUAGAGUAAGAUCAGUAUAUCUGAUCUUGAAUUUAAAUCUUUUAUCAUCAUUUUUUAUGAGAUUUUUAUUUUCAGCCGUUCAAUUUUAGACUACUUGUUUGAUAGGUAAAUGAUAUCGAAAAAUUAUGAAAUUUAGUUUCUAAAUACUUUCAAUAGUGUAGAUCAAGUCUAACGGAGCCGAUCGUCGAUUUGGAAGCCGCAUCAUCGAAAAUAACUUGGUAGCACGGAGCGCUCCGUGCUACCGAUAGUAUAGUAGCCUAGUUCUAUAUAUAUAUAUAUAUAUAUAUACACUACUCACAAUUUUACUACAACUACCGACAUUUUCUAAAGCAAGUGGCAAAGGGCUUGGUGAUUGGUCUCCGAGAUCCAAGUUCGAAUCCUAGUUGAUUCACAUUUCUAGUUAAGUUUAUUUCUGAAUAAAAUAAAUGAAGCGUGUAGCGUGUUACCUAUCUCUCAAAAAAAAUUUUACUACAACUUAACAUAGCUCAUAC
rnacentral:lncRNA from 1 species